rnacentral:rRNA from 1 species
UAGGGAAUAUUAGUUAAUGUGCGAAAGCACGAACUAGCAACGCCGCGUGUGCGAUGAAGGCCUUCGGGUUGUAAAGCACUUUUCCAAGGGACGAGGAAGGACGGUACCUUGGGAAUAAGCAUCGGCUAACUACGUGCCAGCAGCCGCGGUAAAACGUAGGAUGCAAGCGUUAUCCGGAUUUACUGGGCGUAAGCGCGUGUAGGCGGUUCGGUAAGUUGGAUGUGAAAGCUCCUGGCUUAACUGGGAGAGGUCGUUCAAUACUGCCGAGCUAGAGGAUGGUAGAGGGAGGUGGAAUUCCGGGUGUAGUGGUGAAAUGCGUAGAUAUUCGGAGGAACACCAGUGGCGAAAGCGGCCUCCUGGACCAUUUCUGACGCUCAGACGCGAAAGCUAGGGUAGCAAACGG